GACGAACGCUGGCGGCGUGGAUUAGGCAUGCAAGUCGAACGGUAUCAUCCUUUCGGGGGUGAGAGAGUGGCGAACUGGUGAGUAACACGUAGGUUAUCUACCCUCAAGACGGGGACAACCCAGGGAAACUUGGGCUAAUACCGGAUGUGAGCAACUUUUAGUUGUUUGAAAGGUGGCGUAAGCUGUCGCUUGGGGAUGAGCCUGCGUCCUAUUAGUUAGUUGGUGAGGUAACGGCUCACCUAGGCAAUGAUAGGUAGGCGGCCUUAACGGGUGGUCGCCCACACUGGGAUUGAGAUACGGCCCAGACUCCUACGGGAGGCAGCAGUCGAGAAUAGUCUACAAUGGUCGGAAGACUGAUAGUGCGACGCCGCGUGAACGAUGAAUCCCUUCGGGGUGUAAAGUUCUUUUAUAUGUGAGCAGUGCUUCUUAUAUUAACAGUAUGGGGAGAGAGAUAUUAGCAUAUGAAUAAGCAACGGCUAACUCCGUGCCAGCAGCCGCGGGUAAACUCG
rnacentral:rRNA from 1 species